rnacentral:rRNA from 1 species
CGUCGGCGGCUCCCCGGAACGGCGGGCGAUUUCAUAUUUGAAGAAUAAACCCCGAACGGUGGAUCACUCGGCUCGCGGAU